UUGUGGUUAAAAAGCUCGUAGUUGGAUCUCGGCGGACUGAGGGCGGUUUGCUUGCUAGUAUUACUGCCCUAUAGUCCGUAGUUUUGCCAGAGGUUUCGGGGUGCUCUUAAUCGAGUGUCCCGGGAUGCUGGCAGGUUUACUUUGAAAAAAUUAGAGUGCUCAAAGCAGGCUAUUACGCCUGAAUAUUCGUGCUUGGAAUAAUAGAAUAGGAAGUCGUUUCUAUUUUGUUGGUUUUCGGAAAUCGACUUAAUGAUUAAUAGGGACAGUCGGGGGCAUUUGUAUUCAAACGACAGAGGUGAAAUUCUUGGACCGUUUGAAGACAAACUACUGCGAAAGCAUUUGCCAAGAAUGUUUUCAUUAAUCAAGAACGAAAGUUAAAGGUUCGAAGGCGAUUAGAUACCGCCCUAGUUUUAACCAUAAACGAUGCCAGCUAGCGAUCUGCGGACGUUUUUUUUGUAGACUCCCGCAGGAAGCUUCCGGGAAAACCAAAGCAUUUGGGUUCCAAGGGAAGUAUGGUUGCAAAGCUGAAACUUAAAGGAAUUGACCGAAGGGCACCACCA
rnacentral:rRNA from 1 species